rnacentral:ncRNA from 1 species
AAGUUCUGUUUUAAAUCGGCCUUUAUUGGCCGGGCCUAUCGAAAGGGAAGCUGGUUAAGAUUCCAGCACUAGGACGAGGAAUUUAGGCGGUAACGGCCAAAGAACUUGGGGACAUUGGUAUGAAGCCCGGGAAGAGUUAUCUUUUCUUUUUAACAGCCUUAAUGGGCCCUGAAAACGGUUUAGCCGGAGCAAGGGCACAUUGACUGGUAAAGCAGGCCUUUUUU